AUUGAACGCUGGCGGCAGGCCUAACACAUGCAAGUCGAGCGGAUGAAGGGAGCUUGCUCCUGGAUUCAGCGGCGGACGGGUGAGUAAUGCCUAGGAAUCUGCCUGGUAGUGGGGGAUAACGUCCGGAAACGGGCGCUAAUACCGCAUACGUCCUGAGGGAGAAAGUGGGGGAUCUUCGGACCUCACGCUAUCAGAUGAGCCUAGGUCGGAUUAGCUAGUUGGUGGGGUAAAGGCCUACCAAGGCGACGAUCCGUAACUGGUCUGAGAGGAUGAUCAGUCACACUAGAACUGAGACACGGUCCAGACUCCUACGGGAGGCAGCAGUGGGGAAUAUUGGACAAUGGGCGAAAGCCUGAUCCAGCCAUGCCGCGUGUGUGAAGAAGGUCUUCGGAUUGUAAAGCACUUUAAGUUGGGAGGAAGGGCAGUAAGUUAAUACCUUGCUGUUUUGACGUUACCAACAGAAUAAACACCGGCUAACUUCGUG
rnacentral:rRNA from 1 species